AGAACGAACGCUGGCGGCGUGGUUAAGACAUGCAAGUCGAACGGAGUUUCCUGAAGGGCAACCGGAUGGAAACUCAGUGGCGAACGGGUGCGCAACACGUGAGCAAUCUACCUCCAAGUGGGGAAUAGCUCGGCGAAAGCCGGAUUAAUACCGCAUACGGUCCUCCUUCGCAUGAAGGGGAAACCAAAGGCCGGGGUCGCAAGACCUGGCGCUAGGAGAGGAGCUCGCGGCCUAUCGAGCUAGUUGGCGGGGUAAUGGCCACCAAGGCUAAGACGGGUAGCUGGUCUGAGAGGAUGAUCAGCCACACUGGAACUGA
rnacentral:rRNA from 1 species